UACGUAGGGUGCGAGCGUUGUCCGGAAUUACUGGGCGUAAAGAGCUCGUAGGUGGUUUGUCGCGUUGUCCGUGAAAACUCACAACUCAAUUGUGGGCGUGCGGGCGAUACGGGCAGACUGGAGUACUGCAGGGGAGACUGGAAUUCCUGGUGUAGCGGUGGAAUGCGCAGAUAUCAGGAGGAACACCCGUGGCUAAGGCGGCUCUCUAGUACGGUACUGACGCUGAGGCACGAAAGCUAGGGGAGCAAACAGG
rnacentral:rRNA from 1 species